GACGAACGCUGGCGGCGUGCUUAAUACAUGCAAGUCGAACGGAAAGGCCCUACCUUUGUGGUGUGCUCGAGUGGCGAACGGGUGAGUAACACGUGAGUAACCUGCCCUUGACUUUGGGAUAACUUCAGGAAACUGGGGCUAAUACCGGAUAGGAGCUCCUGUUGCAUGAUGGUGGUUGGAAAGUUUCGGUGGUUGGGGUUGUACUCGCAGCUUAUCAGCUUGAUGGUGGGGUAGUGGCUUACCAAGGCGUUGACGGGUAGCCGUCCUGAGAGUGUGACCGGGCACAUUGGGACUGGGAUAGGGCCCAGACGCCUACGGGAGGCAGCAGUGGGAAAUAUUGCAAAAUAGGCGGAAGCCGGAUGCAGCGACGCCGCGUGCGGGAUGACGGCCUUCGGGUUGUAACCAGCUUUCGCCUGUGACGAAGAGUGAGUGACGGUAAUGUAUAAAGAAGCAACGGCUAACUACGUG
rnacentral:rRNA from 1 species